rnacentral:tmRNA from 1 species
GGGGAUGAUCGGUUUCGACGUCGUUCAAUGCGUCGGGAGAAGCGGGCCGAGAAUGUAGAGUCAUCUCGUUAACGUUCUCUGCAAAAAAAUAAGUGCUAAGUCUAACGACCGCACCGAAUUCGCCCUCGCUGCCUGAUUUCAGCGAGCUGCGAUUCUGUCAGCCUAGAGUCGCUUCCGCUCUAGUUCCUGGCAUCAGCUAGGGAGCCACUGCCGCUGGCAUAUGUUGGGGAUGUCAGUGGAACACUUACUCAACUCCGUUCGUUGGCCACCGUGUUCGUGCGAGGGCCAGGACCUAAGAGACGUUUUCACGAACUGCGCCCGGAGAAGUCCCGAUAACUUGCCGACGGACGCGGGUUCGAUUCCCGCCAUCUCCACUU